rnacentral:rRNA from 1 species
GUGCCAGCAGCCGCGGUAAUACGGAGGGUGCAAGCGUUAUCCGGAUUCACUGGGUUUAAAGGGUGUGUAGGCGGGUAGUUAAGUCAGUGGUGAAAUCUCCAGGCUCAACCUGGAAACUGCCAUUGAUACUAUCUAUCUUGAAUACUGUUGAGGUAGGCGGAAUAAGUCAUGUAGCGGUGAAAUGCAUAGAUAUGACUUAGAACACCAAUUGCGAAGGCAGCUUACUAAACAGUCAUUGACGCUGAGGCACGAAAGCGUGGGGAUCAAACAGGAUUAGAUACCCUGGUAGUCC